rnacentral:misc_RNA from 1 species
AUAUGGCACCAAAGAUUUUUAAACAGAAGAGAGUAUCCCUUUUUCAACAUUUGUGCCACACUUAACAGAUUUUGAUCUAAACUUGGAAUAAAGAGAACAUCAGAAAUGUAUUUGGUACCUUUUCUAGUCUGCAUAGCAAUGGUACCUUUGCCUUCAGCCUGGACCAUCUCUCCAUUACCAAGCUUCACUUUAGUUCUCACUGAUUUGUCUAGAGAAGUAAAAAGAUCCUUAUUUCUGGCCAUGUGACUUGUACAACCACUAUCAAUGAACCAAGCGAGCUUGUCAACUACUUUACAUGACUAAGAAAGCAUAAACAAAUGAUUUUUCUAGUGCUUUGGUUAAUUAUCAGUAAAAUUUGUAUGCUUAACCUACUAUGGUUUCUAAGCUAUACUUUGCUUGAUCCUACAAUCUUUUGAAAUAUAGCCAUAUAUUUUUGCAAAAGUGACAUUGCAUAGG